AUGAUUUGCAGGUUUGAUUUCUUGUCAAGAUAGAUGAGGUAACGUUUGGAUGACAACGGGUCAAACGAAUGAUAAAGCAACAACACUCCUACGGGCGAAGGGAUAUACCUGAGACUUGGAAAAAAGGGGCUCCUGGAUUAAAAUGGAAAAAGUCACAAAAUGCAUGACUCGAGAAAUGAAGUAGUGGCCCGAUGUUGUUUCAUUGGGUGUCAUGAGCGUUGAAAACUCCUUUAUUUUUUAUACUAAAAAAAUAAUAUUAUGAGUCCUCACUUAGCAAAAGCUAAUUUUUGUGGUGUCUUCAAUGUAGGUGAUAUGUUUGAGAACAAUGAACGGAUAGAUAAGUCAUGAGAAACAAUGGGGUGGCUUGAACCGGUAACAUGGAAGAAGAAAAGAACUCACAAGUCGUUCAUCAAUAAUCCGAUUCGGGUAGUAGAAAGGCGAAAGUGAUCAAGUCUUGAAAGCAGGUCAACUACGGAAAGAUUUAGUGGUGUUUUGUUCACUAAGUAUAAGGGCUUUCU
rnacentral:lncRNA from 1 species